UUGUGGUGUAACGGCAAGCAUUCAAACUUCCUAAGUUUGAGAUCUGGGUUCGAUUCCCAGC
rnacentral:tRNA from 1 species